rnacentral:rRNA from 1 species
GAUGAACGCUAGCGGCAGGCCUAAUACAUGCAAGUCUAAAGGGCAGCAAUGUCCUUGGCGCACGGGUGCGUAACACGUAUGCAACCUGCCCACAACUGGGGGAUAACUUUCCGAAAGGGAGGAUAAUACCGCAUAAAACAGGGUCCCGCAUGGGAAUAUUGUUAAAGCUUCGGCGGUUGUGGAUGGGCAUGCGGACGAUUAGCUAGUUGGCGGGGUAACGGCCCACCAAGGCAACGAUCGUUAGGGGAACGUGAGAGGUUGGUCCCCACCACUGGCACUGAGAUACGGGCCAGACUCCUACGGGAGGCAGCAGUAGGGAA